rnacentral:rRNA from 1 species
ACGGCUCAGUAACACGUGGAUAACCUGCCCUUGGGACCGGGAUAACCCCGGGAAACUGGGGAUAAACCUGGAUAGGUGAUGCUGCCUGGAAUGGUUCUUCACCGAAACACCUUCGGGUGCCCAAGGAUGGGUCUGCGGCCUAUCAGGUUGUAGUGGGUGUAACGUACCUACUAGCCGACGACGGGUACGGGUUGUGAGAGCAAGAGCCCGGAGAUGGAUUCUGAGACAUGAAUCCAGGCCCUACGGGGCGCAGCAGGCGCGAAAACUUUACAAUGCGGGAAACCGCGAUAAGGGGACACUGAGUGCCAGCAUACAAUGUUGGCUGUCCGCAUGUAUAAAUAGCAUGUGUUAGCAAGGGCCGGGCAAGACCGGUGCCAGCCGCCGCGGUAACACCGGCAGCUCAAGUGGUAGCCGCUUUUAUUGGGCCUAAAGCGUCCGUAGCCGGUCUGAUAAGUCUCUGGUGAAAUCCCACAGCUUAACUGUGGGAAUUGCUGGAGAUACUAUCAUGACUCGAGGUCGGGAGAGGCUGGAGGUACUCCCAGGGUAGGGGUGAAAUCCUGUAAUCCUGGGAGGACCACCUGUGGCGAAGGCGUCCAGCUGGAACGAACCUGACGGUGAGGGACGAAAGCCAGGGGCGCGAACCGGAUUAGAUACCCGGGUAGUCCUGGCCGUAAACGAUGUGGACUUGGUGUUGGGAUGGCUUCGAGCUGCCCCAGUGCCGAAAGGGAAGCUGUUAAGUCCACCGCCUGGGAAGUACGGCCGCAAGGCUGAAACUUAAAGGAAUUGGCGGGGGAG